UACGUAGGGUGCGAGCGUUGUCCGGAAUUAUUGGGCGUAAAGAGCUUGUAGGCGGUUUGUCGCGUCUGCUGUGAAAAUCCGGGGCUCAACCCCGGACUUGCAGUGGGUACGGGCAGACUAGAGUGUGGUAGGGGAGACUGGAAUUCCUGGUGUAGCGGUGAAAUGCGCAGAUAUCAGGAGGAACACCGAUGGCGAAGGCAGGUCUCUGGGCCACUACUGACGCUGAGAAGCGAAAGCAUGGGGGGCGAACAGG
rnacentral:rRNA from 1 species